AGCCUGAACGCUGGCGGCGUGGUUAAGACAUGCAAGUCGCACGGAGCCGUAGCAAUACGGUUCAGUGGCGCACGGGUGAGUAAUGAAUCGCUAACGUGCCCCGGACUCUGGGAUAGCCAUCCGAAAGGGUGGGUAAUACCAGAUGAGACCACAUGGUCGCAUGACCGUGUGCUCAAAGGUCCGCC
rnacentral:rRNA from 1 species